rnacentral:rRNA from 1 species
UACGAAGGGGGCUAGCGUUGCUCGGAAUCACUGGGCGUAAAGCGCACGUAGGCGGGUUCUUAAGUCAGGGGUGAAAUCCUGGAGCUCAACUCCAGAACUGCCUUUGAUACUGGGAAUCUCGAGUCCGGGAGAGGUGAGUGGAACUGCGAGUGUAGAGGUGAAAUUCGUAGAUAUUCGCAAGAACACCAGUGGCGAAGGCGACUAACUGGACAUGUAUUGACGCUGAGGUGCGAAAGCGUGGGGAGCAAACAGG